rnacentral:lncRNA from 1 species
GGCAUGCCUGCAAUUACAACAAAGGAUUAGCGCAAGUCCGAAGAUGGAUAAAAAAGAUAAAAGAUCGACCGACAGACUGAACUGUACCUAAACGGAGAACCGAACUCAGGCCGACAUCGUACAGAGCUUGCUCGGUGACGAGCUCCCUUUGCUUUGGCAUCGACACAUCCUUCAGUCGGUGAAAGUCCUCUCGGUCUCCAGCCUCCACCCGACUAUUUUCGUUCGACUGAGUCCGAGGGUCGCCCCAAUGGGAAGGGAACCCCC